GUACUUGCUUCAGCAACACAUAUACUAAAAUUGGAAUGAUACAAAGAUUAGCAUGCCCCUGUGCAAGGAUGACUCCAAAUUCAUGAAGCAUUCCAUUUUUUC